UCUCAUCUUGACAAGGUGACCCUGCUCUGAGCAGCCCCCAGGUCCAGCAGGGCCCCCUCACUCUCUCCCGUGCCACUGUCUUCAUCAGGUGCCCACCCCUCUCUUGCCCACCGGGUGCAGCAGCUGACUGCGAGGACUGCUAAGGGCCUCUAUGCCGGUAGCAAGGGAGAGAAGGCAGGGGGUAAAGGCCCUCUCUUCUGUGCCCCCCUCCAGUCCUUGCAGGUGCCUCUUCCUGGGGAAGCUCUUGGCGGCUUCCCUGGAUGGGUAAGGCUGGGCGCCCACAUGCCCGGGGAAAGGUGCAUACAGAAGCCUGGGUCACACUGCCCACCUCAUUGCCCCAGGAGGCAGCAGCCUCCAGCAUGAGUGGAAGGAGGACUUCAGAGGAAAAGAGAGACCUCCCUCUCUGUACCCCCAGUUCUGGCUGCCACCACCCACCACAUCUCUGAGAACACAGAGGGAGGUCCUAGACAGUCACCUUGAGGACACUGGGGGCGGGGUGUGGCCUCCUCUGGGGCUACUAACAAGGCCUCCCUCACAGCCCACAUCAGGGGCCGGUGGUUGGAGCCUGCCCCGUGGUGGCAUACCUGUGCCAUCCAGCCCCGGGCUCCCUCUCUGACUGCUCUGUGACCUGCCUCCUCUUGGAGAAGGAUAGGGCAAUGAAAGCAGGGAACAGGUGUCUACUGAGUCUCUCCCAUGUCAACGCCACACACGGAGAUUGUUGGCCCAUUCUACAGAGGAGGAACGGUGGUGCAGAGGGUGGCAGCUUGCCCAAGAUCAUCAACUAACUGUAAGGGGGAGAGACCAGAUUCAAAGCCAGGCCUGAAGCUCAGAAACCCAGGCUCCUUCCCCUUACCCUGCUUCUUCUGGUCCUCAUCACACUGUGGCCAGGGCUCUGGGCUCCUUUCCCCCCACCUCCAGCCCCUCUUGGCCUCUGACGGCCAGGGCCUCCUGCCUAGUGCUGCCCAGAGGAGAGGGAGGGUCCACACGGAGUGGGGAAGGGGAACCCGAAGGUGAGCUGAGCCUCUGCAGGUCCCUCCUGGUCUGGCCAUGAAUCAUGCUGUCGGAGGGGAGGGCCGGCGGGACCUGGGUCUAGCCUGGGAGGAAGUAAACAACCGUAGUUUAGUGGUUAGCUUUGGAGCCAGGAAUGUGGACAGAGGCUGACCCAGGCACUCUGCGGGACAGGGUGCCCCUGACACAGCCCAUAAUCAGAUCUUGGUAUCGGUAGGGCUAAGGACGAAGGAGGGGAGGGCUGAAUCGUGCUCUGGGCUGUGGGGGGACACUGAGCAGCGAUGGCUGAGUUGGGGGAGAGGCACGGAGUACCCUGCAGUUCUGGGGAGGCCCAUAAUUACUCAGGAAGCCAGAGACUAUAAUUAGGCCAUCCUGGCCCAUUAGGGUAGAGCCACAACUGACUGCAUGUCUGGGACAAGUAGGUGGUCUCCCCCUGGUGUGCACAGGGAAUGGGAGGAGGUAGUGGAGGGGUGUAUGUGAGCAGAAGCACCAAGUCUGUCAGCACCCAACACUGCCCACCCAGGGGUGGGGUGGUGCGUGGGCAGGAGGGGCCCAUGGUCUGCUCACGAACCAAAGCAGCAGGCCAGCUGGCAAGGAUGGAAAGAAAUAGAAACAGAAGGGGCGCCUCUCAGAAGACUGGUGCCAUGGAAGGUACGCUAGCCUGGCCAAAGGGGUGGGGGGACCCGGGUUUGGGUCUCAGCUCUGGUAUUCACAAACCGGAUGGCUGGGGAAGUCUUUGUCCUUCCUGGCACCUCAGGGUUACUCUAUUCAGUGAAUAUGUUGGCCUGGGUCAGGGACUGUCGAUACCGAUACCGGCUGUUGUUGCCUGAGGAACCUGGGGAAAAAUGACAAUGGACUUCUACUUCCGUGACGUGCUAGACCCCAGCGACCAAACUUCCCACUGAGAACAAUCGGAAUCAUCAGAUAAAGUAGGCAAGACAUCCUUCUGAUGGCUUUGAAGAGAGAUCAAAGGCCGGAAUCAACCAAAAUCACAGGGAGAAGGGAGACUCCUUAAAGCCUGGCAUUCUUUGCCACUUUUCUUCUCAAGGGAUCUGUCGAUUAGUGAUUAGUUUGGGCAGAGAAGCUGGGAAGCCAGAGAGAAGGCUGCAGCUGUCAGGCUGGGAAGUGGGGCAGACUUUCGGCAGCUUCGCUGGGGCUGGAGUGCAGGGCUGCCAAGAUUCAGGAGGAAGGAGACUGUGCGUGUGUUUGCUGUAAGGACACAGGGCAGAGAAGUCGAACAGAGCACUCAGCUUCAUUCAGCGGUGCUGGAGAGACAAGAAUUGGAGUUCAAGAAUGACAAGGUGGCAGCGCCCUAGUAAACAGUCCUCCAGGACCAUGUACUCCUGCACCUAUUAUGGGGAGUUCCGACCAGCUGACAGAAGAAGAGAAGAUUCUGGCCUAGGAUAUGCAAGAAUCACUUUGAAAGUGGACAGCUGCAACAUCAGUCUCUCUUCAGGACAACCCUGAAGGACAGAGGUGACUCACAAUCUUCCCAGUGGGCAGAACUUCCAGCAGUGUACCUGGCUGUUGUGCUUGCUUGGAAGAAGAAUGGUCACACAUGUGAUUAUAACUUGAUUCAUGGAGUCUGGCCAAUGGGUUGGCUAGAUAGUCAGGGACUCAUAAGAAACACAAUUGGAAAACUGGUUACAAGAAAAUUUGGGGAAGAGAUGUGUGAAUAGUCCUCUCUGAAGAGGGCAAAAAAAUUUGAAGAUAUUUGUGUCUUAUGAAUGUUCUCCAAAGGGGGAGCUGAGCAGAGGAGGAUUCUAAUAGUCAAGUGGAUAGCAUGACCUAUUCUGUAGGAUACCAGUCAGUCUUCUUCUCCAGCCACCCCUGUCGUCGCCCAAUGGGCUCAUGAACAAAGUGGCCAUACUGGCAGAGAUGGAAUUUGUGCAUGGGGUCAGCAACAUGGACUUCCAGUCGCCAAGGCCAAAGCUAUGGCUACUGCCCAGUGCCUAAUCUUCCAACAACAGAGACCACCAGCAAAUCCCCAAUAUGGUACCAUUCCACAGGGUCAUAAGCCAGCUACCUCGUAGCAGGUUAAUUAACUGGACCAUUUCUGUCAUGGAAGGAGCAGUGUUUUGUUCUUGCUGGAAUAGAAACUUACUCUGGAUACACAUUUGCCCGCCUUGCAAGAAAUGCUUGAGCCAGAAAAUACCAUGGAGAAUGCAUUAUCCAUCAUCAUGGUAUUCCAUGGUUUUCCAACACAGCAUUGCUCAUGAUCAAGGAAAUCACUUCACAGCAAACGAAGUGCAACAAUGGGCCCAUGAUCACGGAAUUCACUGGUGUUAUCAUGGUCCCCCCCCAUCUUGAAACAGCUUGCUUUACAGAGAUUGAAAUGGCCUUUUGAAAACUCAGUUCCAGUGCUAGCUAGGUGGCAAUAUCUUGCAUGGUUGUAUGUGGCCUGAAUCAGUGUCCAGUGUGUAUAGUGCUGUUCGGCUGAUAGCCAGGAUUCACUGGUCCUGGGAUCAAGGAUUGGAGAUGGGAAAGACAUCAGCCACUAUCACCCCUAGCGGCCCACUAGCAAAAUGUUUGCUCCUUAUUCCCACAACCUUAUGCUAUGCUGGCUUAGAGAUCUUAGCUCCAAAGGAAGGAAUGUUUCUGCCAGGGGAUACAACAAUGACUCCAUUGAACUGCAAAUUAAGACCGCUGCCUGGUCACUUUGGGCUUCUCAUGCCUCUGAAUUAAUAGGCAAAGAAGUUAUUGUGCUGAUUGAGAUGACUGAUCCUGACUACCAAGAAGAAACACUACUCUACAAUAGAGGUUAGGGAGAGCAUGUCUGAAAUUCAGAAGAUCCUACAGGGUGUCUCUCGGUGCUACCAUGCCCUGAAAUAAAUUCAGUGGAAAACUACAACAUCCCAAUCCAAUGUAGGAAGGACUAGUAAUGGCCCUCCAGGAAUGAAGGUUUGGAUCACCCUACUAGGUAAAGAAUAACUAACAACUAGCUAAGGUGCUUGCCAAGGGCAAAGAAAAUGCAGAUGGGCAGUGGAAGAAGGUAGUUAUACAUACCAGCUAUGACCAUGUGACCCGUUACAUUACAAAAAUAAGGACUGUACUUGUCAAGAGUAUUUCCUCCUUGAUGUGUUAUAAAUAUAUAAAUAUAUAUACAGUAAAUAUCUUCACUUUCUUCCCUCUCUUACCCUCUUAUCAUGUAACAAAACAUAAAAUAUAUUGACUUCAUAUCA